GACGAACGCUGGCGGCGUGCUUAACACAUGCAAGUCGAACGAAGUGGCGAACGGGUGAGUAACGCGUAAUCAACCUGCCCUUAAGAGGGGGACAACAGUUGGAAACGACUGCUAAUACCGCAUACUGAAGGAGGGGAUUGCGUCUGAGUGGCUAGUUGGAGGGGUAACGGCACCCCAAGGCGAUGAUCAGUAGCCGGUUGGGGGAGAUGGACGGCCACAUUGGGACUGGGGCACGGCCCAAACUCCUACGGGAGGCAGCAGUGGGGAAUCUUCCGGAAUGGACGAAAGUCUGACGGAGCAACGCCGCGUGAGUGAUGACGGCCUUCGGGUUGUAAAGCUCUGUUAAUCGGGACGCGGUACCGGAAUAGAAAGCCACGGCUAACUACGUGCCAGCAGCCGCGGUAAUAC
rnacentral:rRNA from 1 species